rnacentral:lncRNA from 1 species
AGUGGAAAUGGGAUUUGAACCCAGGUGUGUCUGAAUCUGAAGAUUAUGAUUUUAACAACUAAGAUUUGUUGUCCUGUUUUGUUACACAGGUUCUGAUCAUUAUGGACUAUUCUACAACUGAGAAAGUGCAGCUGCUGAAUGCAGUUUUUCCCUUAUUGGCACAACAUCAAUCUAAAGUUGGAUGUGGUUACUGGAAGCUCCAGAGACAUCAUUUUCCAGCAUCUAGAACAUAACAUGAAAGACUCUUCUCCAGGUCCAAAUCGAAACAGCUUUGGGAAGAACUCUGACUGGCUUGGCUUGGACUACCUGCCCUCCACUAGACUAAUUACUGGCAAGGUGAAUGUGAAUUCUGACUUGCUAGGCCUGUGUCACUUGCUUAGCCCAUAGCCAUGUAUUUGGUAGGCCCUGUAGAAUCACACAGGGAUGAGGAAUGGCAAUUUCCCAAAGAAAUUGGAUGCUGAGAUCAGAAGAAUGUGGAAGGGGCAAUUGUGAGAAAAGCACAAUAAAUAUUCACUGCACACAGUAAACAUACAUCUGAGUUGUCUCACUUGAAUUGGAUUCCU